rnacentral:rRNA from 1 species
AUUGAACGCUGGCGGCAGGCUUAACACAUGCAAGUCGAGCGUGAAAGGGUUUCGGCCUGAGUAAAGCGGCGGACGGGUGAGUAACGCGUAGGAAUCUACCUGGUAGUGGGGGAUAACGUUUCGAAAGGAACGCUAAUACCGCAUACGUUCUGAGGAAGAAAGCUGGGGAUCGUAAGACCUGGCGCUUUAGGAUGAGCCCGCGGCCUAUCAGCUAGUUGGUGAGGUAACAGCUCACCAAGGCUAAGACGGGUAGCCGGUCUGAGAGGACGAUCGGCCACACUGGAACUGAGACACGGUCCAGACACCUACGGGUGGCAGCAGUCGAGAAUCUUUCACAAUGGGCGAAAGCCUGAUGGAGCGACGCCGCGUGGGGGAUGAAGGCCUUCGGGUCGUAAACCCCUGUCA